AUUGAACGCUGGCGGAAUGCUUUACACAUGCAAGUCGAACGGUAGAGGGGGCAACCCCUCGAGAGUGGCGAACGGGUGAGUAAUAUAUCGAAACGUGCCCAGUCGUGGGGGAUAACGUAGCGAAAGUUACGCUAAUACCGCAUACGAUCUAAGGAUGAAAGCGGGGGAUCGCAAGACCUCGCGCGAUUGGAGCGGCCGAUAUCAGAUUAGGUAGUUGGUGGGGUAAAGGCUCACCAAGCCAACGAUCUGUAGCUGGUCUGAGAGGACGACCAGCCACACUGGACCUGAGACACGGGCCAGACUCCUACGGGAGGCAGCAGUGGGGAAUUUUGGACAAUGGACGCAGGUCUGAUCCAGCCAUUCCGCGUGCAGGAUGAAGGCCCUCGGGUUGUAAACUGCUUUUGUACGGAACGAAAAGGUCUCUCUUAAUACGGGGGGCUCAUGACGGUACCGUAAGAAUAAGCACCGGCUAACUACGUGCCAGCCGCCGCAGUAA
rnacentral:rRNA from 1 species